rnacentral:rRNA from 1 species
GGGUUGUGAGGUUAAGCGACUAAGCGUACACGGUGGAUGCCCUGGCAGUCAGAGGCGAUGAAGGGCGUGCUAAUCUGCGAUAAGCGCCGGUAAGGUGAUAUGAACCGUUAUAACCGGCGAUACCCGAAUGGGGAAACCCAGUGUGAUUCGUCACACUAUCAUUAACUGAAUCCAUAGGUUAAUGAGGCGAACCGGGGGAACUGAAACAUCUAAGUACCCCGAGGAAAAGAAAUCAACCGAGAUUCCCCCAGUAGCGGCGAGCGAACGGGGAGGAGCCCAGAGCCUGAAUCAGCAUGUGUGUUAGUGGAAGCGUCUGGAAAGGUGCGCGAUACAGGGUGACAGCCCCGUACACAAAAGCGCAUGUGCUGUGAGCUCGAUGAGUAGGGCGGGACACGUGGUAUCCUGUCUGAAUAUGGGGGGACCAUCCUCCAAGGCUAAAUACUCCUGACUGACCGAUAGUGAACCAGUACCGUGAGGGAAAGGCGAAAAGAACCCCGGCGAGGGGAGUGAAAAAGAACCUGAAACCGUGUACGUACAAGCAGUGGGAGCCCCACCACCAAAGCAUUCUCUGGUGUUGAAGGCCCUGCAAAGCAGCAUCGCGGUGGCGGAGCGUCGUUUGCGACGCCCAACACACAAAACAAGCGGUGAAUGCUUUGGGGUGGGGUGACUGCGUACCUUUUGUAUAAUGGGUCAGCGACUUAUAUUCUGUAGCAAGGUUAACCGAAUAGGGGAGCCGGAGGGAAACCGAGUCUUAAUUGGGCGUUAAGUUGCAGGGUAUAGACCCGAAACCCGGUGAUCUAGCCAUGGGCAGGUUGAAGGUUGGGUAACACUAACUGGAGGACCGAACCGACUAAUGUUGAAAAAUUAGCGGAUGACCUGUGGCUGGGGGUGAAAGGCCAAUCAAACCGGGAGAUAGCUGGUUCUCCCCGAAAGCUAUUUAGGUAGCGCCUCGUGAAUUCAUCUCCGGGGGUAGAGCACUGUUUCGGCUAGGGGGCCAUCCCGGCUUACCAACCCGAUGCAAACUGCGAAUACCGGAGAAUGUUAUCACGGGAGACACACGGCGGGUGCUAACGUCCGUCGUGAAGAGGGAAACAACCCAGACCGCCAGCUAAGGUCCCAAAGUCAUGGUUAAGUGGGAAACGAUGUGGGAAGGCCCAGACAGCCAGGAUGUUGGCUUAGAAGCAGCCAUCAUUUAAAGAAAGCGUAAUAGCUCACUGGUCGAGUCGGCCUGCGCGGAAGAUGUAACGGGGCUAAACCAUGCACCGAAGCUGCGGCAGCGAACGUAUCACCCAAGACAACUUUACGGAGUUGACGAUUGACGGAGCGAAGCGACGUCAAAGCGUUCAUUAAAGUCGAGUUGGCUUAGGGAUACGUUCGUUGGGUAGGGGAGCGUUCUGUAAGCCUGUGAAGGUGUGUCGUGAGGCAUGCUGGAGGUAUCAGAAGUGCGAAUGCUGACAUAAGUAACGAUAAAGCGGGUGAAAAGCCCGCUCGCCGGAAGACCAAGGGUUCCUGUCCAACGUUAAUCGGGGCAGGGUGAGUCGACCCCUAAGGCGAGGCCGAAAGGCGUAGUCGAUGGGAAACGGGUUAAUAUUCCCGUACUUGGUGUUACUGCGAAGGGGGGACGGAGAAGGCUAUGUUGGCCGGGCGACGGUUGUCCCGGUUUAAGCGUGUAGGUGUGUGUUCCAGGUAAAUCCGGUUCACUUUAACACUGAGGCGUGACGACGAGGCACUACGGUGCUGAAGCAACAAAUGCCCUGCUUCCAGGAAAAGCCUCUAAGCAUCAGGUAACAUCAAAUCGUACCCCAAACCGACACAGGUGGUCAGGUAGAGAAUACCAAGGCGCUUGAGAGAACUCGGGUGAAGGAACUAGGCAAAAUGGUGCCGUAACUUCGGGAGAAGGCACGCUGACACGUAGGUGAAGUGAUUUACUCAUGGAGCUGAAGUCAGUCGAAGAUACCAGCUGGCUGCAACUGUUUAUUAAAAACACAGCACUGUGCAAACACGAAAGUGGACGUAUACGGUGUGACGCCUGCCCGGUGCCGGAAGGUUAAUUGAUGGGGUCAGCGCAAGCGAAGCUCCUGAUCGAAGCCCCGGUAAACGGCGGCCGUAACUAUAACGGUCCUAAGGUAGCGAAAUUCCUUGUCGGGUAAGUUCCGACCUGCACGAAUGGCGUAAUGAUGGCCAGGCUGUCUCCACCCGAGACUCAGUGAAAUUGAACUCGCUGUGAAGAUGCAGUGUACCCGCGGCAAGACGGAAAGACCCCGUGAACCUUUACUAUAGCUUGACACUGAACAUUGAGCCUUGAUGUGUAGGAUAGGUGGGAGGCUUUGAAGUGUGGACGCCAGUCUGCAUGGAGCCGACCUUGAAAUACCACCCUUUAAUGUUUGAUGUUCUAACGUGGACCCGUAAUCCGGGUUGCGGACAGUGUCUGGUGGGUAGUUUGACUGGGGCGGUCUCCUCCUAAAGAGUAACGGAGGAGCACGAAGGUUGGCUAAUCCUGGUCGGACAUCAGGAGGUUAGUGCAAUGGCAUAAGCCAGCUUGACUGCGAGCGUGACGGCGCGAGCAGGUGCGAAAGCAGGUCAUAGUGAUCCGGUGGUUCUGAAUGGAAGGGCCAUCGCUCAACGGAUAAAAGGUACUCCGGGGAUAACAGGCUGAUACCGCCCAAGAGUUCAUAUCGACGGCGGUGUUUGGCACCUCGAUGUCGGCUCAUCACAUCCUGGGGCUGAAGUAGGUCCCAAGGGUAUGGCUGUUCGCCAUUUAAAGUGGUACGCGAGCUGGGUUUAGAACGUCGUGAGACAGUUCGGUCCCUAUCUGCCGUGGGCGCUGGAGAACUGAGGGGGGCUGCUCCUAGUACGAGAGGACCGGAGUGGACGCAUCACUGGUGUUCGGGUUGUCAUGCCAAUGGCACUGCCCGGUAGCUAAAUGCGGAAGAGAUAAGUGCUGAAAGCAUCUAAGCACGAAACUUGCCCCGAGAUGAGUUCUCCCUGAGACUUAGAGUCUCCUGAAGGAACGUUGAAGACGACGACGUUGAUAGGCCGGGUGUGUAAGCGCAGCGAUGCGUUGAGCUAACCGGUACUAAUGAACCGUGAGGCUUAACCUUACAACGCCGAAG